UCGCCGCGUUUUUCGGUCAAUUACGUUGAUAUCGUCUUUAACUUGACUUUUAUUUUCCUUCACGGCGGCUCCAGCGUUGUGUCUCCGGGAUGCUGAGCAGGCGGGCGGGGCUGCUUUUCCUCGCAGUCCCCUGCCGUGGAGUGAUGUAGCAAGACGUACGGGACAGAGCGGGCACAGAGGGGAGCAGACCGAACGUCGGAACGCUUGGUUUUUAAUUACCUCGUUUAAUUCUGUGUAUUUGACAGGCACAAUGGAGCUAUUUAAUAACCUAAUCUAACGUAAACAGUGUUGGAGCCAGCGUGCAGCCUGACACACGGACAUCUUGUUUGUCUCAUACCAGGACACAGGAGUGCAGAGAAAUCUUUUUUCCUCAUUUUGGACACGGUGCAGGUCGUACUGUAGUGGAGCUGUGUAAAGCUCAGGAUGGCGUGGCCCUGUAUCAGCAGGGCGUGCUGCAUGGCCCGCUUCUGGAACCAGCUGGACAAGGCUGACAUUGCGGUGCCUUUGGUGUUCACCAAGUACACGGACGUCUCUGAGAUGCAGCACAUCCAGCUGCAGCCGCCGCUCCACCCUCCCCAGGCCCGGGUCGCCAUAGAAACGCAGCCGUCUCGCGCAGAAUCCCGUUCCAGGACCGCUGCACGCGCGCCGCGAAGGUGCGUUUCCGAGGAGCGCGUGUGCAGCUCGGUGAUGCGCGAGGACUUUAAGCACUGGAAAGUUCGACCCGAACCUAGCUGUAAACCCAAGAACGAGUACCACGAACCGGAAACACCAUUCAACAGCGAGACCCAGUACCAAAAGGACUUCAAGCCCUGGCCCAUCCCGAAAAGGUACGACCAUCCCUGGAUACCCAAACCGCCCCCAAUCGACGACCGGGCUCCAGACAGGUCCAGGCACGCGAAACAGCACGUGGCGCUGGGGGAUGCGGACAGCGGUGUGGAGAAGAGCGCUAUUGCUGACAAGGUGCAGGAGAAAGACCUCCUCCACGGACAGGAGAGGAAAAAUAAGUCCAGUAAACAGGAGGGGGUGAAGAAGGUAGUCCUCAAGGUGGAAGGAGAGGGCAAAGGGAGGGCGGCGGCGGAUGCUGUGAACAGGCAGAUCAAAGAGGAGAUCACAGCCGGCACCUCGUACAAAACUGAGUACAAGGCUUACAGGGAUGUGAAGCCAGCAAAGAUGAUCCGGGCCAAGUCCCAGUACCUGCCGCCGGAUGGGAAGACCAGCCUGGAGACCAGCUACAGCGCCACCUUCAAGGGGCAAGCUCCUCUGAAGCCUGCUGACAACAAGGCACUCGAGAGGAGAAGGAUACGUAGUUUGUACAGCGAGCCUUACAUAGACCCCAGCAAACAGGUUGACAGGUAUAGCACCCCUCGCUCUAAACCCAAAAAGUCUGGAGCCACAGCAUCAGGCCAGGGCAAGCCAGUGAAGAAAGCCAAAGAUAAGCAAAGCGCCGUACUGAAGGGCUCCAAGAAGACGACCUCGGAGAACCAGCCCGAGAACCGGCCAGCGGUGGGGGACAAGGAGAAAAGUAAAGAGAUGAACAACAAACUGGCUGAGGCAAAAGAGUAAAAAUCAUUUAGCACUACUUCUCCUUUUAUUUCUUCUCUUUGGGGGAAAACAGACACAGAGGCUGCAAAAUUAUUUAAAGUUCUCUCAUCUUUAUUUUCUUCUUUCCUUCUUCCCCUGUGUUUCCCCCUCUAGUCUCUUACUCCUUCUCUUCUUUGUUCAGUCUCACUGUAUGCACUCAUUCUUCUUCUCUGUCCUCUAUUGCUACCUCUUUGUACAUUGAUAAUAAAAUAAGAUGUAGGGGUUUAGACAUGACAUAUCAAUGCUCCUCCCAUCUCACGCUAUGUUACAUCGCUAUAGUAACGAAUGGGUGGGAGCAUCCUCUUCCUCCGCCAUUUGAUGCCACCCACCACCCCCGACUCUGCUCGCCUCCAUCUCCAGGUUACCAUGGCUACUGGCUGCCUGGCUAGCCAAUGGAUGGCUCUUAUUGCAUGGGCCCACCAACAAGCAAAUCUGAAGGGUUGGCUUUGAUCAGCUGAGCAGAUUGCUUUGUUGAGUUUAUCAAGGAUUUUAUUUCUUUUUCUUUUUGUUUUUUUUGGGGGGUUUUUUUGGAGAAAAGAUAAUCAAAUUGGCACUUUGGAUCUGAUUUCUUUCUGCACUGUCAAAAUUAUCAACAAAUCUGAAAAUCUUUGAUAAAUGUUCCGCUCAAUUAGUCAUGAGUACCUGAUCCACGGCUUGUUUUGUACCUGCUCUGUCGUAUUUGCUGUUGUUCUCUGUUCGUGGUAGAGCUCACAGGACUCAGAGUCUGUGUUGGCUAAUAUCACGGUGCUCAACUGAAUGUGAUUUUUGUAAAGCAGUGUCUCUUUUCAAAACUGAACUCUGUCAUAGGCUGCAGAAUCAUUUUCAGUUCACCUAAACAUACAUACCCUGUUCUCCCAUUCAGUAUUUGCUCCGUGGAUGUGAAACCCAUCAUACAGUGCAGUUUUGUAACAUCCAAUUUGUUACCAACUUACCAUCUGGGUCACACUAACCUGAUUAUGCAUUAGCCAUCAGCCAUUUGCGUUGCAGAUGAGCAUUCCCUCUCAAUUAGAUAAUGCUGUUGUGCAGUUGAAAUGACAUGUAACAUUGGAGCAACAACAUUUCUCAGAAUCAGAGAGAGAGAGUCCAGUGGAGCUUGAGUGGUUCAGGUUGUAUCAUGUCUGCCACAUCAUGCAUGGCUGUCAAUCACAAUAGCCAUAACUCAGUGUAAUUACCUCAGAUGUUGUCUAUUAGACUUUGCCCUCUGCAAAACAUCACAGUAGAAGCCGCACUCAAACACCUCCUUUAAAAAUGGGUGUGAGGGUGCCCAUAACAAUGUGAUUAGACUGUCAUCAGAUGAUAGCACAGUUCAUAUUGCUGCUUAAUAGCAUUUUUUCCAUUACCUGUGAAGAGGGAACUGUGUGCAUGAAGCACAGAUUCAAGUUACAAAUAAAUCAUAAACAAUUCACUGCCAAUUUGUGAAAUAUGUCUGAGGUAAAUAAGUUAAAAUUUUUAAUACCAUCUUUAUUUUAACACACCACAAUAAGGGCACAGUGAUGUCAUAAGAAGUGUAACUGCUUCUGCUUUCUCCAUUGUUCAUCACUCUCUCUUUCUGAGUACAUGUUAUACAACUUGUUUUGCCCAGGCCAAAAGUUUGGAGGGUUUCAUGGUUUGAUGAGGUUGAAUAUAUUUGAAAAAUGUUGGUUCAGUGAUAGAUUUACUUUUGCUUUGUCUGGCAGGCUCAACAUGGUGGUAUGGAGGAAUUAUCUAGCAAAGCAAACCAAAACAAGCUGUAAAACCUCCUUUUUUAAAUUGUGGUUUAAUCUAGAUUUCCUCAGUGAGGUGUGAUGAAGAGAAAGGGAACAUGAACAACCAUCACCACUGCCACCACAUCUACCGAAGCAGAGCAUCAUCAGGGAUGAGGGCCCAGCUCAUUAGUAUUUUGCAGCCUUUGGUUAGGGGUCCCUUCGUUAUGUAACAGAAGGAGGGGGGCUUGUAGGGGCAGUAAAUGUAAACGGUGCUCAUCACACCACAUACACCUUGUACUAUCUCUGUGAUUAUUAGGCAAAUAAGAAUAGAAAGUAUGAAAGUAUGGUAAAGAAAGUUAUGUCUUGAGCAAAAAAAAAAAAAAAAAUGACUGUGACGUGCUUGUGUUUCUAUUUGCUUGCUCAUAUUUAAUGAAACGUUACAAAUAAAUGCAAAAAGCAGAAAAA